UUCAUGUUUUCUCUAUUUUUCUGCUCCUUUAUCUCCCAAUGUCUCUAAUUCUUUUUCAGGACAAAUAUACAACAAAAAGUCAGAGCAGGGGGAAACGCACAAGAAGAAAACCCACUGAAGGAACAUCUAACAGAUGAUACCCUGCAGAAUUCCAAAGGCUGACAUACAUGUCAUGUCCUGCCUGAAGUCAUAAGGACUACAUGAAAUGCAAAACAGGAAUUUGGUCCAGAAGGCCUAUGGCAAAAAAGAGGAAACAACGAGAAUGGAAAGUUACUAUUAAAAAAGUGAGUAUGUUUUCUAUCAAGAUGCAAAAUACUCGACAUUUUAAAGCAAAUGAAAAUGGUAAAGAAGAGAAAGGGAACAAGAAGAAAAAUUUAUCCAUGGAUUAUGAAGGCAAAGAUAUAUAGAACUACAAGAUACCUCUCAAACUAGAAAGGGAACUGAAAGGGUGUAAUUCGCUUUUUGUUGUUGUUUACACUCACCACAACCAGAAAGACAUCCUGACAGAAAUGCCAACAGACAACACUCCUCCUACAGCCACCAGGAAGAAAAUAAUGCAAGUUUAGAGAAUAACUCUUGCAAUCUAUAGUUCUCACCUGGGCACACGUUUGUCACUCUUAUCUGCAGGGUCCUUGUAACAGUUUGGAUUUUCUCUCUUGACGAGUGCUCCUGAGUCAAGGUACUCUGGACACAGAAUCCCAAGGCUGGGGAUCUGUAUUUAAUUACUUAUCUUGGGAGCUUUGGGAUUAAACCUGAUCCUUAAAUUUAUGUUGCAGCAAUUGCCACCUUUAUUUUUCUGUUUUCCCACAACAGCAACACAACAGUGUCACUGCAGAGAUCUGAUGCACCAGACAUUACUCCUUGCACCUACUAAUUCCCUACUUCCUAAAAAUUUAAAAAAAACCUUUAUCUUUCUUCAGAAAGGUUUGUUAAUGUUUAAAAUGGAAAAAGGAAAAGCACUGUCAUAUAAAGCAAAUAUCUACAUUUCAAAAAGCUCAACAAAAGCAUCUCAGAUGAAAAUUCCAUUUAAGACCCCUUAAACUAGAAAAAGUGUUCUUAAUUAUUUGCAUAUUUUCCUUUAAAGUCCUGUAUAAACUGACCAAUCUGAUAUAAUGGGGAUCAAAUACUUGUCUUUUCAAAGCUGCUCUCUGUUGUUGUUGAGAUUAUGUUAACAUGCUAUUUUGUUGCAAUGAAAAUGGCCAUGUAUGUUGCUAAGAAAAAAAUAUGGAUCCUUCCUUAAGACAAAUGUUAUUUACUUGUGGCCAUGUUAUUUAGUAAAUUGAUCUACUUUGCAUAUUUAGGGUGUCAGUAUACAUAUAAACUUAAU